GCCCGCCCUGUGGGAUGGGGGCAUCCCGCGGCCUCUCGCCCGGAAAAGCGAAGGUGGUUGGUUUCUCCACGGACAGUCGGGUUAGGCAGUAGCUCCCUGAAGAAAAGAUCAAAGAAAGUUGUAGAAGAGAACGCCAUUUAGAAGGAUGGAGAGGAGUUUCACCAGGAAGAGAAGAGAUGAUGGAACAGAAUGGACAGUAGCCAAGAGGCAUGAAAUUGCAUGGAUAGGCAAGGAAUGAUGAAUGAUAGUCCAGGGUGACUUUAGGAAACUCGGGGAAUCAGAGACAAGACUGUGAAGAUAGUCCUGGGUUCAACUGUGAUAAGUCUUGUAGAGCAGGCUGAAGAGGUUGAUCAUGACUUUGUAGGCAGUGGGGAAGCAGCUAAGAGCUAUAAACAGAAAAAUGAUU